rnacentral:tRNA from 1 species
UCCGGCGUGGUCUAGUGGCUGGGAUUCCUGGCUCUCACCCAGGAGGCCCGGGUUCGAUUCCCGGCGUCGGAA